rnacentral:tRNA from 1 species
CCGUGCAUAGCUCAGUCUGCGAAGAGCGCCUGGUUUGGGGCCAGGAGGUCAAGGGUUCGAAUCCUUUUGUACGGACCA